AAUUGAUGGAGGGGCACCACCAGGAGUGCAGUUUGCGGCUUAAUUUGACUCAACACGGGAAAACUCACCUGGCCCGGACAGCGUGAGGAUUAACAGAAUGAGAGCUCUUUCUUGAUUCGGUCGUAGGUGGUGCAUGACCGUUCUUAGUUGGUGGAGUGAUUAAGAAUAUAUGGUAUAGUAGUCCAGGCACUAACUAUUUCGUUUGUAAUCUUGCAAUCGCAACACAUUCCUCAUCGUACCAUUCAAAUGCAAAUAUAGUCAUACUCACUCGUCACUAUUUCCUGUGAUACCAAGAUCUUCAAUAGUGAAUCGACGAAAACAAUCGGCGACCGAUGAAAAGUUGCCAAAUCGAGAACUAGAGGUACGAGUUAUACCAAGACACUGCAGCAGUGGGGGAUGGGAUGGUGGAGC
rnacentral:ncRNA from 1 species